CCUAAGGGGGGCAGCAGUGGGGAAUAUUGGACAAUGGGGGCAACCCUGAUCCAGCCAUGCCGCGUGUGUGAAGAAGGCCCUCGGGUUGUAAAGCACUUUCAGUGAGGAAGAACGCCUGGUGGUUAAUACCCAUCAGGAAAGACAUCACUCACAGAAGAAGCACCGGCUAACUCCGUGCCAGCAGCCGCGGUAAUACGGAGGGUGCGAGCGUUAAUCGGAAUUACUGGGCGUAAAGCGCGCGUAGGUGGCUUGAUAAGCCGGUUGUGAAAGCCCCGGGCUCAACCUGGGAACGGCAUCCGGAACUGUCAAGCUAGAGUGCAGGAGAGGAAGGUAGAAUUCCCGGUGUAGCGGUGAAAUGCGUAGAGAUCGGGAGGAAUACCAGUGGCGAAGGCGGCCUUCUGGACUGACACUGACACUGAGGUGCGAAAGCGUGGGUAGCAAACAGGAUUAGAUACCCGGGUAGUC
rnacentral:rRNA from 1 species